GGUGGCUCAGUGGUAGAGCACUUGCCUUGCAUGCAUGAGGUCCUGGGUUCGAUUCCUUAGCACCA
rfam:Dipodomys ordii contig_11567, whole genome shotgun sequence.